rnacentral:rRNA from 1 species
GACGAACGCUGGCGGCGUGCUUAAUACAUGCAAGUCGAACGGAGGCAGAGACUUCGGUUUCUGUCUUAGUGGCGAACGGGUGAGUAACGCGUGAAUAACCUGACUCAAAGAGGGGGAUAACAAUCGGAAACGAUUGCUAAUACCGCAUAAGACCACGACACCGCAUGAUGAAGGGGUCAAAGAGAUAUCGCUUUGAGAGGGGUUCGCGUCCCAUUAGGUAGUUGGAGGGGUAACGGCCCACCAAGCCAACGAUGGGUAGCCGAGCUGAGAGGCUGAUCGGCCACACUGGAACUGAGACACGGUCCAGACUCCUACGGGAGGCAGCAGUAGGGAAUAUUGGGCAAUGGGCGCAAGCCUGACCCAGCAACGCCGCGUGAGGGAAGAAGGUUUUCGGAUUGUAAACCUCUGUCCUAUGUGACGAAGGAAGUGACGGUAGC